GUGGGUAUAGAUCAGUGGUAGAGCACGUCCUUAGCAUGAACAAGGUCCUGGGUUCAAUCCCUGGUACCUCCA
rnacentral:tRNA from 1 species